rnacentral:rRNA from 1 species
UACGGAGGGGGCUAGCGUUGUUCGGAAUUACUGGGCGUAAAGCGCGCGUAGGCGGACCUGCAAGUCGGGGGUGAAAGCCCGAGGCUCAACCUCGGAACUGCCUUCGAUACUGCGGGUCUCGAGUCCGGGAGAGGUGAGUGGAAUUCCUAGUGUAGAGGUGAAAUUCGUUGAUAGCAUAACGACUGGUAACGGCGAAAGCAACCUUUUAUCUAAUAACUGACGUUGAGGGACGAAGGCUCGGGUAACGAACAGG